ensembl:lncRNA
GGGACAUAAUCUGCAUGAAAACAAGCGCUCACUCUUCCUGCUCAACAAAUGACAAGAGCCUUAUACCACACCAGCUGGCAGGGAAAAAACAACGGAGAGCACGUGAGAGAUGACGAAGCUGUAAAGGCCAAGAAAGUGACAGGAGAAAAUCCGUCCCGGUCAACCACAUCAAUAACGGGAACUUUAUACAGCGCUUCCCCAUAACCGUCGAACUCUCGCAGGCACAAAGAAAUUACGGAGGCUAUCACUUAUCACCUGGCUAAAGAUAUGGCUCCCAUCAACACUGUGCAAAACGAGGGAUUUAGGAAAAUGAUCAACACCCUAGACAAACGCUACACAGUGCCGUCCUGCAACUAUUUUUCAAAUGUUGCACUACCUGCUCUAUACACGCAGUGUCGAGCUACGGUGGAGACGGAAUUACAAGCAGUACAACAUUUUGCAGCAACGACAAAAUUGAAAGUUAAUGUGAGGGACACCGAUGGGCAAAGACAAAUGCAAUCAUACGGCAGGAAAAAGAUGCUGAAAACGGACCAAACUUCAGUCAGCAGAACGCCUAUGAUGAUCCAUCCCCAGCACGAGGUUAGUCACUGAUAUCCUGCUGCAUAGUUUGGAUUACUCGCUAUGAAAAAAAAUUCCUGACCCUCAGCUUCAUGUACCCAUUCAAAUCUUCGUUAGCCUCAGAGUGAUUCUUUUCUGACCUGUUCAAAUAUUUGGUGGCUCCCAAACCAUAAGCUGGUGUAAAACAACUGAGCUUUACAACGCGCUGCAGACAAAUGGCGGUAAUAAAAACCCAGAGAGAUGAUCAGCCAGUGACCACUGACUAUUUUAAGGGCUUGUUCAGAUUAAAAUGAACACAAUACAAACACUUUAAAAAGACACCAGCCUUAAUGAAAACAGGGUUUAUACGUGAUCACUUAACAACUGGAUACUAUGUGGAAAGUGUCUGAUUGAUUUUUCAGGAUGAUAAUGAUCCCAAACACACUGCCAAUACAGUAAAAGCAUACCUAGAAAAACACACAAUAACACUAUCAGCCAUGGAUUGGCCUCCCCAGAGCACAGACCUCAACAUUAUUGAAGCAGUGUGGGAUCAUGUUGACAGAGAACAUAACAAAACCAACAUCCAGAGAAGAGCUUUGAAUGUCCUUCAAGAAUCCUGGAGAACUAGUCCUGAAGACUAGUUAAAGAAAUGAAAAGAAAGCUGCCUAAAAGACAUUAGACUUCGUUAGAGAAUAAAGGUGGUCGUACCAAAUAUUGACUUUCAAGCUGGUUAGAAUUAUUCAAACUCUGUUAUUGCCUUAUAUACUGUCUCUAGACUUUUUUUAAAUCCAGUUUCACCCAACGUACAUAAACGAGGCAUGGUUCAGGACUUUUGCACAGUAAUGUCACUGUAGUGAUUGUAAAGUUCCUGUCUCUAACCUCCACUCCAGGUCCGUGGCAUCAGCUUGACAGCGGUCCUCACCAAGGCGCUCGCUGAGAGCAACAUUGUUGCUGCAACUUGAGGACACCGACCAGUCACAGCAUGUCGCUCCCCUGCGGAACAAAGUGUGACAGUCAGCGAACUACCGAGCACUCAUAUUCACAGAGACACUCUGAAGUAACUUAUUAUCACUUACCAAGGUUAACAGUCUCUCCUCCAGCAGUUAUAUGUACCCUGAAUGACAGCUACGCCUAGCUAGCUCACUAUUCUCACAUCUGCUAGCCACGCUCGUUUGUAGAUCAGGAGAAUUACUGCCCUGAGUUUGGUUUCCCAGGUAGAAAAGCGGAACCCUCUCCCUUUACUACUUGUUAAACCGAACCUGCAAUGGACUACAAGUGAGCUUUUAUUUUACUUAUCUGUACACUCAGUAAAAUGGAGGCCAUCGAGCCAAAAGGAAU